AUGAACGCUGGCGGCGUGCCUAAUACCUGCAAGUCGAGCGAACAGACGAGGAGCUUGCUCCUCUGACGUUAGCGGCGGACGGGUGAGUAACACGUGGAUAACCUACCUAUAAGACUGGGAUAACUUCGGGAAACCGGAGCUAAUACCGGAUAAUAUAUUGAACCGCAUGGUUCAAUAGUGAAAGACGGUUUUGCUGUCACUUAUAGAUGGAUCCGCGCCGCAUUAGCUAGUUGGUAAGGUAACGGCUUACCAAGGCAACGAUGCGUAGCCGACCUGAGAGGGUGAUCGGCCACACUGGAACUGAGACACGGUCCAGACUCCUACGGGAGGCAGCAGUAGGGAAUCUUCCGCAAUGGGCGAAAGCUUGACGGAGCAACGCCGCGUGAGUGAUGAAGGUCUUCGGAUCGUAAAACUCUGUUAUUAGGGAAGAACAAAUGUGUAAGUAACUAUGCACGUCUUGACGGUACCUAAUCAGAAAGCCACGGCUAACUACGU
rnacentral:rRNA from 1 species